rnacentral:rRNA from 1 species
UACAGAGGUCUCAAGCGUUGUUCGGAUUCAUUGGGCGUAAAGGGUGCGUAGGUGGUGAUGCAAGUCUGGUGUGAAAUCUCGGAGCUCAACUCCGAAAUUGCACCGGAUACUGCGUGACUCGAGGACUGUAGAGGAGAUCGGAAUUCACGGUGUAGCAGUGAAAUGCGUAGAUAUCGUGAGGAAGACCAGUUGCGAAGGCGGAUCUCUGGGCAGUUCCUGACACUGAGGCACGAAGGCCAGGGGAGCGAACGGG